CUUGCUUCUACACUGAAAACAGACCUUAAAACACCAUAUUCACACACUAAAUCACAUGCACACACAUCGAAGUGAGAGAAAAAAUGGCUUGAGAGAGAACUAAGAGAGGCAGAGAGAGAAAUAUGCAAGAGAAAGGAUACAUACACAGAACAAAAAGGGUGAAGCAACGACGAUCUUUAUCUUCUUUUUUCUCCCAGUGGUGAGAAAAACAUGCACAUACACAGACUUUGAUAGAGAAGAUCGAGAGAGAGAGAGAGAUUUGUGAGAGAGAGAGAGAGAGAUCCACAAUUUAGUAUCGAGGAAGAUUUAAAGGUCACAUUUUUGGUUACUGCUCCGGUGACUGUGUCUCCAGAAAAGCAUAAAAAAUAUAUUGAAAUGCACUUCUCCAUUGAACUCGCUCGAUUUAACUUGAUCCUGUGAAUUUUGUAUACUGGUUUAGGUAUUGGUCAUGAUUUCAAUUUUGGCGUCUUGAUCUUCAUAUUGUUUCUGGGAAUUUGGAUUCAGAAGCUGGCAAUUUGAUUUGAGUUGGAUUUUGUGUCAUGUCGAGGUUCGAAUUGAGGUUUUCCGGGUGCACUUUUAUCUCCGAUAUAUUAAAAUCAACACUUGAGGUUCAUUUCCUUAACCCACUAUCUUUUUAUUUAUUUUGGUUUAUUGGAUUGGCUUUGAUUAUGUGUGAUGUGAUUAUGUUUUGUUGGAUUUUUGUUACGUUGAUGUUAUGAUUAUGAUGCUUGUUGAUUCGGUUGUGGUGGUUUGAGGAAUAAAUCUAAUCAUGUUUUAAUGGAUUGAUAAAAAAAAAUUUGGGGGUGGAAUUGAAAAUUGACAAAAAGGAGUUCCAGAUCAAUUUUGAUUCACUGUGAUGUUGAACGUAAAUGUCAUCGAAUUGGAUAGGCAAAAAUGUUUAGAUUCGGGUAGGCAAAAUUUAGGAGUGAUGUGUUGUUGAAUGCGUUGAAUGUUUAAAUGUGUGUUAAUAUUUUUUUUUGGUUUAUCUUAUUUAAUUUAAAUGUAUUCAUUCGUCCAUGGAAUGCCCCGAGAUAUUUGUGUUUAUUUUGCCGAAGAAUGCCCCGAAGUAUUUUAUACUUGGAGGACGUUCGUGAUGAAGGCCCGAGGCAUCGGGUAAGGUAUUGGACUUUAGCUUAGGGUUAGUUUAGAAUAGGAUUUAUAUUUAUCGCAUUUUUUCAUUUUGGACGGUAUAAUUGGACUGUACACUAUAUUUUGGGAUUCGUAUGUUUGGUUUGUUUGAUUAAUUCUUUUAUGUUUUUUGUGUGUUUUAUACAUCCAUAGUGUUAAAUUAGCCGAUACUCUCCACCAAGCGACCAUUGUCAAACUACGGGACCGAAGGGUACCUAACACUUUCCCCUCGGUCAACAGAAUUCCUUAGCCAAAAUCUCUGUUCGCAAACCAGUUUAAAGAGUCAAAACGUUUUGAAAAGGAUCUUUCAAAGGUGACUUGGUACACUGGAUUAUGUCAAAUGGCGAGUCAAAAAAAAAUGUAAAUAAUCCUUUUUCGAAACAAAUAUCAUCUUUUGUCACUCAAUAAAUAAACCCUUUCGAAACUUAAAAUUGAAUCUUUUUUUUGGUUGAAAAAGGGGUGUGAUAGCUCUGGCGACUUUUCUUGGUAGUUUUUUAGAAUUCGAGCUUAUUUUUUGGAGUUGUAUCAACUUAAUUUGGCACUAUAGGUGUAUAGAAAUUUUGUUUGUGAUUAUUGUUUGUGUUAUUGUUGUUGUGUGUUUUCGUUCUCUUUGUUUACAGUUUUUAUUUAUAUGUUACCGCUUUAUGUCUAGCAUCAUGUGCAUAACCCGAGUCAUUCUUUCUGAAACAAGUCCAUAGUACAUGCUGUGUGUACGACAUAUAUUUGAGUCACCCUGAUUUUAGGAGGGGGAGCCGUUGGGUGGUAUAGAGUAGGUGGAAAGCAAAGCAGCCACUAUCGACCAUACGCUCCCCUGAACAGCCUUGUUAGUGAACCCCAACGUAGGUCAGCAUUUAGGUCAUGCUUAUGUACAUCAUAUUGAUACUUAGCGGGGUCCACUUGAUCCUUUGUAUGAGACUCACCUCUAAAGCAUCCUUAUGUGCUAAAUGUUGCAUCUUUGAGAGUAAUGUGGUCAUUUGACAGACUGAUUUGGAUAAAAGCAUGUGUUAGAAGUGAAGUAUGCAGGCACUGAAAAAAUUGAAAAAAAAAGGAGAAAAAGAAAAAGAAAAAGAAAAAAAAGGAAAGUGAGUCGAAGGAAAAUAAAAGAGUCGUAGUUUUUAGAGUUCUUUAUGGCUUUUGUUUUUUCACAAUUCAAAAAUUCAAAAAGAUUUUUUUUUACUUUUCGCAUUCAUUGUCUCAAAAACAUCAAAAUGAUUUUCUUCUGUUCCUUUGCCAUGCAUUCGUUAUUCAAAAAAUUUCAAAAAAAUAUUUUCUUUUAAUUAGAAACUUUUUAUAACAAAAAGUCAAGAAAAAAUGGUAAGAGUUUUGUACACUUCAUUAAAUGAAAAUACCAAAAGAAUAAAUUUUCUUUCAUAGUUGUUGGUCUUAGUUUUAUGUGAAGUGUCAAAUUGAAAGCUCAAAAAAAGAUGUUAUUGUUGUUUUCAUCUUCUAUUUGUGAUCGCGUCUCUCAAGUCAGGGUUCAAUUGGUUAUUUAAUCCUUAAUUGUCCUAUCUGGAUGAACUACGCACCCCUGAUUCUCUUCUCUCGGGAGUGAGAUACCUAGGUAGCCUAUUGUUGGUUCGGGGAUCUUAUUUGAAAAAAAUCCAAAAAAUAUUUUUCUUCACUCUUCAUUUAAAGUAGUUGUCUAUGCAUCUAUAAAAAAAACUACAAAAAGAUUUUCCCUUAAUAGGUUCAAGUUUCAUUUUCGUAUGAAAUGCAAAAUUGAAAACACAAAAAAUAGUUUCUUUGGUAAUCCUAGGUUUCUUUUUGUAUAGGUUAUUAAAGCUGAAAAAUUUAAAAAAAAAUUCACUUACUCUUUUGACAAUUUGUCAUUUUUCUUUUCUUUUUUUCUUAAAAUUUCAAGAAAAAAAAGAAAAAAAAAAGAGUUUAUUUGGCCAUUUUGGCAAGACAUCACGAACUAUGCACACCUGAUUCUCCUUUCUUGGAGUGAGAUAUGUAGGCGCCAUUCUUGGGUUCGGCGACCUUUUCAAAAAUAAAAAAGAAGAGAUUUUGAGAAAGUGUUGAACUCUAAUGCAUUUGUUAUCUCUUAUUCAGUUAGUUUGAGGUGGUUGGUUUGUGGCAUUUUGGCUGGUCCUCCAUAUUGCACCAAGUCACAGAGAAGGUUAUGGCCAACAAGGAUACCGAGUUUGUUGUCACUAAUCAGAUAGGGAGUUCUGGAAAUGACAAUUUAGGAGAUAAUGAAGAGAUUCGGAAAUUAAGGCAGCAAAUGAUAGAAAUGCAUCGAGCUUGGGCUAAUGGGUUGUCGCCUCCUCCAGUUCCCACUGAUAAUAUGAAAUAUCUUUCUAGCUUGCCUCCUGUGUCUCAUGCACAAUUUCCCAUUUUUGUUGAUAUGGCACAACAUGCAUCAGGAUCGACUCCGGGGCCACAAUAUCCAACUACUUUCAAUGUUCAUUUCCUCACACCCCAAUCCAAGACUAUCACAUACUCAGCUCCACCUACUGUUCAUGCUUUUGUGACACCACCCCAACCUGAAUCUCCUACUUUUGAUAUUCAUCCACAAGUUGUGCAUUCCUACUCUACAAAAGAAGCGUUACACUUUUGAGCCCACAUUCAAGUUGAUUGGUAUUUACGGUGACACUCACCCGCCUGAAUUUCCUUCUAUCACUGAGAAGCCUAUUAUGAGAAAAGAAUAAGAGGAAAUGACUAGAAAAUUGAGAAGUUUAGAACUAGCUAUGAAGAACUUGCAAGGACUUGGGGGUUACAAAAGUGUCUCAUUUAAAGACAUAUGCAUGUUUCUAGGUGUCAACCUUUCUCCAGUCUUUAAAAUGCCAAAGUUUGAGAAAUAUGAUGGACAUGGGGACCUAGUGGCAUAUUUGAGCCGUUAUUGUAACCAAUUAAGAGGCGCUGGACGGAAGGAAGAACUACUUAUGGCUUAUUUCAGGGAGAGCCUUUCAGGCCUAGCUUCAGAAUGGUUUGUUGACCAAGACAUUGACAAGUGGAUUAGUUGGGAUGACCUAGCUAAUGAAUUUAUGCUACAAUUUCAAUACAAUGUGGAGUUGAUCCGUGAUGAAAAAUCCCUAACUAGUACAAAAAAGAAAAAUACUGAGAGUUUCAGGGAGUAUGCGAUCAGAUGGUGCGAACAAGCUACUAGAGUAAAACCGCCAAUGAAAGAAAGAAAAAUAGUGGAGGUAUUUAUUCAAGAGCAGCACAAAACAUAUUAUCAACAUUUUCUACCUGCAUUAGGCAAGUCGUCCAUUGAGGUCCUUAAAAUGGGGGAGAUGAUAGAAGAGGGAAUUAAGACUUGUCGAAUUGUGAGUUUUGCAACAUUGAAUGGGACUACUCAAGCAAUUCAAAAGGGUUUAGGAAUUGUUGGGGAGAAAAAGAAUGAGGAAGAUGCAUCUGCUAUUGUAGUUGGAUAGUACAAAAGGUCAAGAAGACCCCAUUGUCAUCACUCUCAGGCUCAAACCCAAGUUCAUGCCCAAGCUUCAAAUAAUCACUCCCAAAAUCCAUUAUAAUCUGUUCCUUCACAUCCAUAUCCAGUGUAUAAUGCACAACCACAUGUCCAACCCUCAUCUUACCCACAAUGGCAUACCCUAACGCCCCAGAGUCAUCCUCUAAAUCCACAAACUUACCAAAGCCCUUCUAGGACAGAUUAGAUAUCCAAUCCAAGCAAUAAAAUGAGAUAGAAGUCAAGAGAUAGCUUCACACCAAUUGGAGAGUCAUAUGCCAAUUUAUUUUAGAGAUUGGUACAGGAGGGCAUGAUCACUCUUCUCCUUAGGCACACCCUUAAUCGGUGUUCAAGAAAUUUUGAUCCUAACGCACGAUGUGUGUAUCGUUCUGAUGCUCAGGGUCAUAGUAUUAAAGAUUGUUGAGACUUGAGAAGAAAAAUUAAAAAGAUGAUUCAAGAUAGAUCAAUUAUGGUGCAAAACAUUGACAGUGGGGGAAGCUCUAGUCAUCCUGAUAUGCAAGCCAGUGGCCAAGUUUUCAGGUUGAGCAAUUGAGAAGUUACCCCUCUCAUCACUAAAAAGAGGUCUGGUAGUUUGCUUUGUCUUAUUUUCUAUUUUAUGAAUUAUUCCAGGAUUGUAGUUCGGGACUUAUCUUGUUUUAUCUCUUUGUCGUUUAUGUUCAAACCCUUCUAUCUUUUAUUUCAACUAAAAUUGUCGCUUUCCCUUUGUGUUUUAAAUAUGUGUUGUUUGUUUGUUUUCUUUAUACAGUACACUUUAGGUUGAUUCUAGUGAUAUGACAUGCCUACGGAGUCUUCCGCCAUAUCUUAAAAUUCCAAUUUAACCAUGAAAUAUUUAAUCAAAGGGCUAAAGUUAGGAGAAACAUCUGAGAAAUUAGUAGAGUGCUGAGACAUUUGGUGACAAGUUGAAGCCUUUUAUAAAAAUUAAGGCAAUUAUUUUGAGAAUCACAAGAAUAACUUGGUCAUCAAUUAAAAGACAUGUCUCAUUUAGGUCAAACAGUAUUUGUGUAAUCCUAUAUCAAAAGAAAUAGGAAUAAAAUUAGCUCUACGAAGUCAUGAGUCCUUCAGCAUGAGGAAUGUACAACCAAGUGUAGUUGUACACUGGGAAAGUGUAGAAAAAUAGAUGGCGCACAUGCUCGGGGGAAGUUAGUGUUGUGAAUGGGUCGCAAAUGAUCUUCAUUUUUCAUUUCAUAUUGCAUAAUAUGUACUUACAUUUUCAAGGAUGAUUUGACGAAGGCAUUUCAUUCUGCUAUCAAAAUAUUGUGUCAUCCUUUGUUUACCCCACUUGAGCUUUAGUAUUAUUUUCUUUUAUACCCCUCUUUUGGAAGCAAGAUAAAGUCAACAAAUUUAAAAAAAAAAGUGUCGAAUAAAACACUAGAGUCAGAAAAGUUUUCAAAAAGAAGAAGAGAGAAAAAAAUGUGUCUAAAUAGAAAAAAAAGAGAAGAGUGUCAAGAUAAAUAGAGUCAGAAAACUGCCAAAGAGAAAGAGUCAAUAAAAGAAACAUAGAAGAAAAAGAAAUUAGAAUCAAGCAAAAUAAGCUGCCAGAACUAUGCGUGACCCGAUUCUCCUCUUUUGAGGGUGAGAUACGUAGGCUGCCCUACUCUGGGCUCGAUCCAACGAAACAAACAGUUUUGAAUUGCUCAGUUAAAAGAAGCGGGGUGUAAUGCCCCAGGAAAUUUUUCGUUGAAAUUUUGUGCGUAAACGUGUUGGGUUAUAUCUUAUAAAAUAAAUUAUAAAUUUUCCAUGCGUAAUGUCUUAGAUUAUGACUCACUAUUGCGUAGAGUAUUGAAUAAGAUUUCCAAUGAUAUGUGGAUCAUCCAAAACGGACACUCGAGCGAAGAUUUAUGAACAUUUCGAUGGAACUGUGAAUAGUAGUGAACAGUAAAACAUGCAGGAAAAAGUACUGAGGCCUGGUGUAUUUUUGCUCCAAAUUUAAAUGAUCAUAACUCCUUGUAUAUAAUGAUCUGGGUGAUAUUCUAUAUAUCAAUGAAAAGUACUCCGAGUCCUCUUUCCAAUGGAAUUGGUUUCAUCCAAUUUGUCUAUCGGAGCAAAAUGUUAUGGUCGAUUUACUUCAGCCUAUCAAAAGUGAAUUUUUGGGUAAAUGAUCAUAGCUCUUCGUACACAAUGAUCUGGGUGAGAUACUAUAUAUCAACGGAAAUAUAGGAGAGUCCUCUUUCUAAUGAAAUUGGUUUCAUCCAAUUUGGAUAUCGAAGCAAAACGUUAUGGUUGAUCUACUUCAGACUAUCAAAAAAGUCCACCAAAGGAUAGAUUCGAGAAUUAUUUAAUUUUUAGGGGUGUUUUGGUCAUUCCCCCUCACCCAAAAUCCGUAAAAACCCUAUAUUAAAGCCUAUUAGAAGCAUUAUAUGUUAUAUUUCAUCAAAUUCCCUCAAGAAUAAAACCCUAAGCUCCUACAUCCAACUUCAAGAACCUCCAAAGUUCACCAUUAAUUCCGCAAAUUUAUUCAAGAUUCCAAGUUCCUAGUUCAAGAACUCCAAGAACCAUCAUUCAAAGGCACGAUUAACAUCUCAAAAAAUGAGUAUCUAUCUACAGUUCAUCAUUCAAGGUAUGUGGGGUUUUUCAAGAAGAACUCUCUUUCGUUUUUGUGUCCAAAAGUAAUUUUCUUUACAAAGGCAUGAUUUUUAUUUGAUUUUUAUGAAUUUGAAGCAUGAACCCCUAUCUUAUGAUGAUUAUUAUGAAAUCUUAUUAUUUAUGAUUUUGAAAGAUGAAUUUACAUGUGUGGAGAUAUAAAACAUGAAUUUUGAACGAUAUUUAUCAUGAUUUUUAUAUUUGGGUCGUGAAUCCCCAUUAGAAAUUGUGUUUUUUGAGAAAGUGUGUGUUAUAAGCACGUUGAUGUUGAAUAUUUGAGAUAUUUUGAAUGAUUUGACCUUUUGGUCUUAAUGGAGUUGUCUUGAACUCGAGUGUGAAAGAAAUCCACAACGUGGUUGAUUUUGAUAGAUGGGAACCAUGAUGGUUCCCAAUGUAUAUUUAUAUAUUACUGAAAUUGUUUUAUUGUGGAUUGCCUUUGAAAUGAUCUGAGCUAAGUCCGGGAGAAAUCUUUAUCACCGAGUGGGAGGUAUAAAACGACCUUACUUCCCUAGAACUAUGUGCCCCCGUAGGAGUGAGCCUGAGGCUGAUUUAUUAGUGAUCACUAGUUUGUGUGGAUUUGAUAUCGAUAGUCCUACUCUGAUGGCAAGGAUAGGACGGCUCUCCCCAAUGUGGGUUGUACGUUGGACUUCCUAUAGCUCACAUGGUUUAUGUUGGUUAUAGGAUCUCCUAGUGUGUGUGUGUUUCCUUGUGUCUAUGGUGAACGGUGAAGUGAUUUGAAAGUGGAAUUGUGAAAGUUAUUCUUCCGAAAGAUUUAAAUGAUAUUUACAUUAUGAUAAUUGAUAUUCUUGAUGAACUGAAAGUGAUUGACAAAUUAUAUGAUGACUCACAUAUGUUAUUAUACUUAUUUUAUCCUCUCAUGAUUAUGAUGACUUUUUUCAGUCUAUGUGAGUCUUUCAUACAUCCUGCAUAUUUCUUAUAAAUAUUUAUGAUGAUGAAGUUUAUAAAAAUCCAUACACCCCUAUAUAAUUGGUUCCUUUCCAAGGUACUGACCUACAUCUUCGAAUGUAGGCUGCAUUUUCUCGGAAUGUAGGUUCAGGUGCUUAGUUCCAGGUUCGACAGUGACUCUUUGGGCACGCUGUUCUACAUCCUCUGUCGUG
rnacentral:lncRNA from 1 species